rnacentral:rRNA from 1 species
UACGUAGGGAGCAAGCGUUGUCCGGAAUCAUUGGGCGUAAAGCGCGCGUAGGUGGCCCCAUAAGUCCGCUGUGAAAGUCAAAGGCUCAACCUUUGAAAGCCGGUGGAUACUGUGGGACUAGAGUACGGAAGAGGCGAGUGGAAUUCCUGGUGUAGCGGUGGAAUGCGCAGAUAUCAGGAGGAACACCUGCGGUGUAGACAGCUUUCUGGACCACUUCUGACGCUGAGACACGAAAGCGUGGGUAGCAAACAGG